GGGCGCGGCCGCCAUGACGGGCCGCCAUGAGGACUCGGUCCGGUCCUGCGGUCCUUCCGGCGCCGCCUCACAGGCCCCGCCUGCAACCACAGCUCCGUCAGCUUUACAACCCCGUGACUUUUAGUUUCCGUAACUACCGCAGACACGUGUUCGGUAGCGAGGAGCCUAACGUAGGGAACGGCAGAAUGACCAAAUGCCUCUAAGACUUAAAAGGACCACACGCCUGUGGUGAUCAGCAGCAUGAGCUGAUGAUGACCAAACCACAGUCUGGUCGUACCUACAGGGAAAAAUCGAGUUUAAGAAGUCAAAAUGAGUCUUACGAGCUGUGGAGGGAUCCUGCCGGCCGCCAGGGUGUCGAUUGCUCAAGGAAAGAGGUGUUCGGGAGCAGAGCAGGGCUUCUCCCAAAGCAAUGCCACUGACCUGCCCUCUUGUCUCCUGCACCAGCACGUUUUCAUUUGCAAAGACCAAAUCCUGCUUACCAGAAACAAACACACCAAGUAGAUCGAGGAGCACAGCUGAGAGCUCUGCAGGAUGCAGUGAGAGAACCUUGGGAUUGCAGGAAUUUUUGUAGUAACCAGGAACCAUAAAAAGGGAGUCAGGCCGUUCAGGCACAAGGCAAAUGCUGCUGCCACGAGAGAAGGCAGACUGGGAUCACAGCACCAUCACAAACUGGUGGUGACCAAGGACAACAAGCAAGCAGCUACUGAGAUGCAUUCCCCUGGACUAUCACCCCAGUUUCUCUCGACAAAGGCUCUGGAGGGCACCCCAGGCUGAGCCAGAGGACACCGGACAAAGCAAGAGCUGGGAAGUCACUGUGCAAUCCAGAGGUCACUGAGCAGCAGCACCCAGGCACCAGGCACUGGGUGAGUCACAAAACACUGGGUGUGUUCAGCAUGGUAGGACAUGCAGCAGUGCUGGCAGCAGCUCCACUUCCUGUGUGCAAUCCUCACUCCCCCACAGAAACCUGGCAGAAAUUCCCUGUUGGUCCACUUGCCACUGCUACUGUGCAACAAUGGAACUACAGACUUGGGCCUUUUCACUGCCCCAGCAACAGCAAAGGGGCUCAGAGAGCCUCUUUUAUUCUACAUCAGUUGGCACGCACAUGUAUCACCUGGCGCUUUCUUCCCAGCCUCAGCUAGACAUCCACUGGGCUGGGUAUCACUUUGUAAGGCUUCAGCUCAUUCAUUUGCCCUUACUGGAGAAAACAGAGAAGGGAGGGAAAUCAUCUGUAACCAGAGAUCAGGCUCCAUUUACAGGCCUGCUGUAGCAGGGCUUUCUCUACAGAACAAGGCAGGCCGGGAUUUCUUCCUUUCCGCAGGGUAUCUGUGAGGAUUUAAAAAGUCCAAACAAAUGGGAUGCUUGAGGCAGAGUAAGACCCAGCUCAGGCUCACUUUUACCAGCCUCUUGCCAUCAACUGGUACAUAACAAAAGACCAGAAGGUGGGAAGUGUGGACAUGAAAUGCAAAAACUUUGUAAGUCAAAGCUGACAAAAGAUUGUUUCUCCAAACCCCCCCUUAAUGACACUCUACUCAACUUACUUAAGACUGAGUUACAUUUCUGGGAAUAUUACCAGGAAGCUGUAGCUAAUGCACAGCAUCAGUGUGGGUCAUACACAGAACCUUGUGCUGUUUGGUCCAGCAGCUCACACAGGCUGUAGAGGUGCCUGUUCUUCCUCAGAUUAUUUGUGCUUCAGGAGACUGGUCAAGCUCUGCUUAGGCUGUAAAACUUUUCCUUUUUUUUUUUCUUUAUUCUUUAUCCAUUUAAUUUCCUUUCCAGCAUAGAUGCAGACUGUACAUAGUAUCUGAAACACUAUUACAUCAAAGCAAUAUAGAGAAAGAUUACAGUCAUUCUAACAAAUACCUUUUUUGUUAAAUAUUGUAAAAAUCUGUAUCACUGUAGCAACUGUCUCACAGGGCCCCUCACUGAAACAUCAGAUCAGGCCUACCUGUUGUAACAACUGCUUUCAGCUCAGCAGCUGGAGGUAGAAAUACCCCAACACAAUAUUUCAGAUGUUUCAGCGUGCCUAAAAUGAUGUUCUCUUGAAUUCUGGACUCCUUUUCCUGUACGUUGACAUGUACUGCUGAAAAUCAUGAACAAAGUAUUUCAAAUGCAAUUCUUGCAAAUCCCUUUAAAUAAAUGGUGCUCAACAUCCAAAAUUAAACAUGCUGUCAACAAUCUGUACAAAGGUAAAGGUGAAAAAUAGAAUUUGAUUACAAAAGAAUUUGUUAACACCAUCUGUACACCACAGACAAUGCUUUUCAGAAGAUAAAUUCAAUCCUCAUCCUCAUUCAAUCACUGAGAUGUUAUCUCCCAAUUCUUAAAGCAUGCAUUUUCUGUGUACUUAUAUACAACAAUUAGUGUUUUUAUAAUAUUUCCUACAUGUGAACAGUUCAGGUAUUGUACAGUGACUCAGCUGAGAUGAACGAGCUUAUGCACGUUACUUUAAUGAAAAGAUAUUUCACUUGUCUAGCUCCAAAAGAGCCAAGAAAGGUAAGUGAUAAAAGCACCAGCUUAGACUCUUUUGAACAUAAAUUCAGGCAUUUUAAUGUGUAUCUCAUUAAAGCUACAUGAGUUUCCAUGUAGGUUAUUCAUACAUAUUAUGGCACUUGGACUCUCCUAACAGGUAUUUAAUAACCUAGGACAACUAGGCUAAAAAAGAAAAGAUCUGCUAAAAUUAACCAUUUCUGUAAGAAAACACUUCCGUUCCAACCUUCGAACCCGUUAAUUGUCCUGGAAGUUGCACCAGAACACAACUGCUCCUGUCUGACAUUCGGUGAGUAGGCUGCCUUUGACAACGAUGUCACAGGAAGUUUUAAGUGUCAGUCUCUCUCUUGUGACCUGGGAGCACAAAGAAAGGCCCUCACCCAUUUCCACCACCCCCAGCGUGUCCCGCUCCUCUGUAAUUACAACAUGCAGCACUGCUGCUGGGCAUCCAUUCUUUGGUUGGACUCGAGCCUUUGCAGCAAUUACACACAUUAAGAAACAAGUCCAAAUUUAAUCCAAGGUGGUCUCCACUGGCAGCUUUUUCUCCAUGUAAGGCAUUAUUCUGACAUCUACUGGCCUGGUACCCAACCAUACAUCUUAAUACACUGCAUUUGUAAUUAAAAAGGAGUAUAUCUAUUAAUCCAAAAAGAAGAACAAUUUAAUGAACACAAAUGACAUACAUUUAAAACAGACCCAUGUAUUUUCAUAUAAAUCUCACAAUCCUACCAGUAUUUUGGUAGGUUUCUAUUGCUUUCUUAACUCAUCUGAACUACUGUAUAUUAUGAGGCUUUAAUACAAGCAGCUUUGGGGAAGAAAGUUAUAUUUGGAAGGGAAAAAAAAAGUCGUGACAAGUGAAAACAAAAAAAAAAUCCAAGAAGCUUUUUUUAAAAAAAAAUCUUUACUUGCAAAAUUAAGCAGCAUGCUAUUUUGUGAUUUAUAUUUGAAUUUAAAAAGACUAAUUAGACCGAAAUAAAGACAAAACCCUAAAAAUGGCAAGUCUAUAAAUAAUGAAAAUUUUGAUUUCACUAGGCUUCAAUGAAAAACAUUUGGUAAUUAAAUACUUGCUACUGUUCAUUAACGUUGAUGAACUUUAUUAGGGUUAAAACUAUAACAAAGUUCAUCCUAAAACUUUUUGCAAUGCAAAAUUAUUUUCACUCGAGGAGUGUCUCAAAUUGAAUGCUAAGAAUUACAAGCAAUCUUCAGGAGCAGACACUCACAUUCAUAAAACUUUAUACAUCUUUUGGAACUAGGAUAUUUAUACUACUAAAAUCAAACAUGCAUCACUUCCCAUACAUUCUGGUAUCAUGAUUUAUAUUACAUUAUGUAACACCAUUCUUCUCGAAAGCAGCAGUUUAUCAUACGUUUGCUCCAUUUUCUUUGGAUUUCUGAUCUUUAUCUUCGUUCUUCACCAUAUCCUUGAAAAGAAAAGCCAGGAGAGGAUGACAUGAGUUGUGGAAGUGAUAUUUCUCCUGUGAGCUGUAAAGCAGCGCGAGACAGACACUGUUUGCUGUCAGCUUUAAAGACUCUGUGAACUGAUAUCCAACUCAGUUUAGUUACAACCAACUGAGAGGCAGAAAUGCUCUGGAGUGUUAUGUGGUUUGCUUUAAACUCAUUUUACUGUGAUACUCUCACAUAUUGAAAUAUUUGACUUCUGCCCUGACGAAGUACUGCUCACCAAUAAAACAGAGGAACAUACUUGGGCUGUUGGGGAUGGACAAGAUCAGAACAGGAAAACAGUGAAAUGGUUUGAGAUUUACAUUAAUAUUUAUGCAUUUUUAAAAACAUCUCAGUCAGGAACAUGUGUUGCAAGCUAAGAAAAAAACCCACAUUUAAUUUUUUUAUCUUUAAAAAACUGAUAUCACAUUGAGCUUCUUUUCCACAUAUAUGUUAAGAUACUACUGCCCUGAAUUCAUGUCAAAUUUGGUUUUUAUUUUGAAGUUUCUGUUCCAAUUGUUUUGUCAACAGAAGUUUGGAUACAAUAAUAAAAAAUGGAAUUAAACAACUCUAACCUGUUUAAGAACACUCUGUAUUUCAUCCAUAACAGUAGCUAAAUUUUUGAUUGUCUUAUUCAGCUGACCCUCAAAUUGCAAUUUUUUAUCAUCUGAGAUCUUCAAAUUUUCUUGCAGUUGGCCAAGGUCCUUUUUUACUUCUUUGAGCUCUCCAGACAGACUUUUGUUAGAGUUCUCCAGCUGUAGUAUAGUUUUUUCAUCCUCAUCUUAGGAAGGGAAUAAACAAGAAAGUCAAGUCACUUCUGAUGCUGUGACUUCGCAUCUUAAUAUUCUAUUUAUGUGCCAACAUCAUAAUAGUAAUUUUUAAAGAACAUUAAGAACUGCAUUGCAUUACCAUUUGAUAACAUUUAAUUCUCACUGCAUUUGAAAGUCUUGAAUAAAAGAAAUGAAAGCAUUUCAGCAUGACAAGAAUGGUGCUCAACAACAGUGUGCAAGUUAAAAGGCUUUGGGAAAAAGAAAACCGACCGGCAGGCAAAUAAAUACAAUUUAGAUCGCAGGUAUCACUCCAACUGAUUUCUUCCCUCAGAAAGCCUCAGUGUCAGCAUUGCCUUCCCAGUACAGCCCCACCUGUUUUCUCCUCCAGCAGCUGCAGCUUCUGCUCGAUCUCUGCCCGCACCCUCUCGCUCUUCUCCAGCUUCUGCAGGAGGCUCCCCACAUCCACCAUGGCCCCGUUGUACACGAUGAGCCCCACGUUCUCCUCCACGGCCUUGGCCUCCUGCUUCACGGCAGGGGACGGCAGCAGCAACCGGUUCCCUGCGUUGGAUUGAGUCAGGAAACAGUCACUAAAUCAUCUCUGCAGUUCUAGUGGCCCAUCUCAAAACUUCUUAAAAGAAUAAAUUCUAGAAGAAUAAA